rnacentral:rRNA from 14 species
CCUUGGCUUUUCCCCUGUCAGUUCUCAUAAGCUCAACAGGGUCAAGCCUGGUCAGCAUUUGGAUGGGAAACCUCCCUGGGAAACCAGGGGUUUAAGGA